CCGGCGUGCUUAACACAUGCAAGUCGAACGAUGAAGCCCAGCUUGCUGGGUGGAUUAGUGGCGAACGGGUGAGUAACACGUGAGUAACCUGCCCUUAACUCUGGGAUAAGCCUGGGAAAGGGUCUAAUACCGGAUAGGAGCGCCCAACCGCAUGGAGAUUUAUCGGUUUUGGACUCGCGGCCUAUCAGCUUGGUGAGGUAAUGGCUUAAGGCGACGACGGGUAGCCGGCCUGAGAGGGUGACCCACACUGGGACUGAGACACGGCCCAGACUCCUACGGGAGGCAGCAGUGGGGAAUACAAUGGGCGAAAGCCUGAUCGCCGCGUGAGGGAUGUAAACCUCUUUCAGUAGGGAAGAAGCGAACCUGCAGAAGAAGCACGCGGCUAACUACGUGCUAGCC
rnacentral:rRNA from 1 species